CAUCAAGUGUGUGUGCGGGAACAACAUUGCCGUUGUUUCUGAUGCCGAGGGCUUGGAAAUGGGAUACGGUUUAUGGUACGAGUAUACGGAGGCGGGGGAACGGGAUAUGUCUUUUUUUUCAAAUGCCAGCCACAAGAGCUGGAGUGUUAAAGGGGCGAAGGGAUCAACAGGAGGAUCAGGAACAGUGCUGGAUACGGUAUUCCCUCACAGGCGUUCCUCACAACUGGGAAACUCACAACUGGGAAACUCACAACAAUAACUGUAGCGUAAAGAAGUCUUGAACUUUUAUAUACACUGGAUUGGCAAGCAGACGGAUCAGAAUCAGUAAUGGAAUAGAAUGGAACGCCUUGGGAAGGGUUUCUCUCGGGAGAAACCGGUACUCGGUACUCGGUACUAGAAAGUCAAGCCGAAUCAGGAUCAGAUCAUAUACAUAUAUGUAAGUAUCUAGACACUGGAGUUGUAAUGGUAAGGUCUUGAUCGAUUGCGUAACAGAUUUGCUGCGGUGCUUUCAAGAAAAGUUCUGCAAAUAUAAUGUGUUCAGAUGGCGUUUCUAUCUUUCUCGAGCGCUCACCACCACUGACACUGCAGGGGCUUGAAUGCAACCAAAGAUCUUUCUAAAUGUUACCAAGACUUUUCAGUUCAAAGAAGUUGGAUAAGGAGAAGAAUAGCAGUUGGAAUGGAAUGGUAAAGGCGUCUAGGCAUAAACCCUCAGACUCAGACAAGAUACACUUUUCGCUGGCGAAGUGUGAUAGCCUCCGCUUAAUAUAUGUAUAUGCAUAUAUCAGUGAUCGGCAACGAUUUCAAAGGAAGAACUGGCUGAAUAUGUUCUUAUUGACAAUGCUGUGGCGUUUUGUGAGGACCCUUCCGAAAACAACAUUGUUAAAAAUAUAUUAGAUAACGGACAGGACAGCGACGGCAACGUCGAAGAUCAAAAUGAAGCGUUUUGGAGGCAUUUAAGACUGCAGAAAUUCGGAAUCCAUAGCAUAGCAUGACUAGUUUAAAUAAUGCCGUGCGCUACUGUUUUUAUAUAUCAGAAACUACUGCUAAA
rnacentral:sRNA from 1 species